GGAGAGAUGGCUCAGGGGUUAAGAGCACUGACUCCUCUUCCAGAGGUCCUGAGUUCAAUUCCCAGCAACCACA
rnacentral:tRNA from 1 species